UACGUAGGGUGCAAGCGUUGUCCGGAAUUAUUGGGCGUAAAGAGCUUGUAGGCGGUUUGUCGCGUCUGCUGUGAAAUUUCGGGGCUCAACCCCGAACUUGCAGUGGGUACGGGCAGACUAGAGUGUGGUAGGGGAGACUGGAAUUCCUGGUGUAGCGGUGAAAUGCGCAGAUAUCAGGAGGAACACCGAUGGCGAAGGCAGGUCACUGGGCCGCAACUGACGCUGAGGAGCGAAAGCAUGGGGAGCGAACAGG
rnacentral:rRNA from 1 species